UGGGGAAUCUUGGACAAUGGGCGCAAGCCUGAUCCAGCGACGCCGCGUGUGUGAAGAAGGCCUGCGGGUUGUAAAGCACUUUCGGUGGGAACGAAAUGUGCCGGGCUAAUACCCCGGUAAGCUGACGUUACUCAAUGAAGAAGCACCGGCUAACUCUGUGCCAGCAGCCGCGGUAAUACGUAGGGUGCAGGCGUUAAUCGGAAUUACUGGGCGUAAAGCGUGCGCAGGCGGUUUGUUAAGACAGAUGUGAAAUCCCCGGGCUUAACCUGGGAACUGCGUUUGUAACUGGCAGACUGGAGUGUGGCAGAGGGGGGUGGAAUUCCAAGUGUAGCAGUGAAAUGCGUAGAUAUUUGGAGGAACACCGAUGGCGAAGGCAGCCCCCUGGGCUAACACUGACGCUCAUGCACGAAAGCGUGGGGAGCAAACAGGAUUAGAUACCCUUGUAGUCCCUGAGCGGGCUGGCAAGGCGCAU
rnacentral:rRNA from 1 species